AGUCGUAACAAGGUUUCCGUAGGUGAACCUGCGGAAGGAUCAUUAGUAGGAAGGAAGAUGAUGGUUGAUAUACUGGGGAUGUAUGCAAAUGCACGACCAGCAAAUAUACAAUUAACAAUGACGAGAAAAAGAUGACAUGAGCACCUUGCUGCAAUGGAUCUCUCGGCUCUUGCAUCGAAGAAGAACGCAGUCCAUUGCGAAAAGUCAUGCGACCUGCACCUUUUGAGAAGCAUUACUCUUUGAACGCACCUUGCGCGUGGAAGUAACCUUUCACGAGGUCCUGUUUGAGCAAGCACAAAUACUGGAAUAUGACCAUUUUUAACUGGUUUUAACUGGUGGUUGGGCAAGCCCAACCAGAGGGUAAAAAAGAAACGAUGGUUUAAAAGAAUGCGGACAGCCUGAACGACUCUAGGGCGACACAAGGUAUGGUAGAAUGCAGUGGCAUCAUGUUCAAGCAUCAUGAAACACGCAAACUCUUCUAACCCUAACCGCAAGGACGAGAAAGAGUACUAACAUACUUUCACUCACACACAUGUCUCGCUUCUCAAAUCAGGAUAGAGGACCCGCUGAACUUAAGCAUAUCAGUAAGCGGAGGAAAAGAAACUAACGAGGAUUCCCCCAGUAACGGCGAGUGAAGCGGGAACAGCCCAUGGUUGAAGGUUUAGUAAUAAAUCAAUGUACCGUGGAGAGAAGAAGAGGGGUUGCGAGUUGGAGGCAAGUUCCCUGGAACGGGACGGCAAAGAGGGUUAUACCCCCGUGGCGUCUGACUAGCAACGUGAUCUGAUUCUCGACGAGUCGGAUUGUUUGGGAAUGCAAUCCCAAGUGGGUGGUACGCGCCAUCUAAGGCUAAACAAGGGCAAGAGACCGAUAGCAAACAAGUACCGUGAGGGAAAGAUGAAAAGGACUCUGAAGAGAGAGUCAAAAGUGCGUGAAAUUGCAGCAAGGGAAACGAACGAAGGGUUUGGGCGGGCGUGGGGAAUUGCGAUUGGAAUAGAUGAAGGUAGGGACGCUUCGGCAUCCAACUUAUAGCAUCGAUGACGAUCAAGGAAGACCACACUGGGCUGACAACUUGCUGUUCGACC
rnacentral:rRNA from 1 species